UACGGAGGGUGCAAGCGUUAUCCGGAUUUACUGGGUUUAAAGGGCGCGUAGGUGGUUCUGUAAGUCAGUGGUGAAAUCUCCGAGCUUAACUCGGAAACUGCCAUUGAUACUAUAGGUCUUGAAUUAUCUGGAGGUAAGCGGAAUAUGUCAUGUAGCGGUGAAAUGCUUAGAUAUGACAUAGAACACCAAUUGCGAAGGCAGCUUACUACGGAUUGAUUGACACUGAGGCACGAAAGCGUGGGGAUCAAACAGG
rnacentral:rRNA from 1 species